UACGUAGGGCGCAAGCGUUAUCCGGAAUUAUUGGGCGUAAAGAGCUCGUAGGCGGUUUGUCGCGUCUGCCGUGAAAGUCCGGGGCUCAACUCCGGAUCUGCGGUGGGUACGGGCAGACUAGAGUGAUGUAGGGGAGACUGGAAUUCCUGGUGUAGCGGUGAAAUGCGCAGAUAUCAGGAGGAACACCGAUGGCGAAGGCAGGUCUCUGGGCAUUAACUGACGCUGAGAAGCGAAAGCAUGGGGAGCGAACAGG
rnacentral:rRNA from 1 species